CAGCCGCCACGGUAAUACGUAGGGUGCAAGCGUUAAUCGGAAUUACUGGGCGUAAAGCGUGCGCAGGCGGUUAUAUAAGACAGAUGUAAAAUCCCCGGGCUCAACCUGGGAACUGCAUUUGUGACUGUAUAGCUAGAGUACGGCAGAGGGGGAUGGAAUUCCGCGUGUAGCAGUGAAAUGCGUAGAUAUGCGGAGGAACACCGAUGGCGAAGGCAAUCCCCUGGGCCUGUACUGACGCUCAUGCACGAAAGCGUGGGGAGCAAACAGGAUUAGAUACCCGUGUAGUCCCUGUCUCUUAUAU
rnacentral:rRNA from 1 species